AGGACGAACGCUGGCGGCGUGCUUAACACAUGCAAGUCGAGCGGUAAGGCCUUUCGGGGUACACGAGCGGCGAACGGGUGAGUAACACGUGGGUGAUCUGCCCUGCACUUCGGGAUAAGCCUGGGAAACUGGGUCUAAUACCGGAUAUGACCUCCGAUCGCAGUGGUUGGUGGUGAAAGAUUUUAUCGGUAGCAGGAUCGGGCCCGCGGCCUAUCAGUCUUGUUGGUGGGUAAUGGACCUACCAAGGCGACGACGGGUAGCCGACCUGAGAGGUGACCGGCCACGACGUGGGACUGAGACACCGGCCCAGACCUCCGUACGGG
rnacentral:rRNA from 1 species